rfam:Mycoplasma genitalium G37, complete genome.
CCUGGAGUGGCGGAAUGGUAGACGCGGUGGACUCAAAACCCACUAGGAAACUGUAGGAGUUCAAGUCUCCUCUCCAGGA